rnacentral:rRNA from 1 species
AUUGAACGCUAGCGGGAUGCUUUACACAUGCAAGUCGAACGGCAGCGCGGACUUCGGUCUGGCGGCGAGUGGCGAACGGGUGAGUAAUGUAUCGGAACGUGCCCAGUAGCGGGGGAUAACUACGCGAAAGCGUAGCUAAUACCGCAUACGCCCUACGGGGGAAAGCAGGGGAUCGUAAGACCUUGCACUAUUGGAGCGGCCGAUAUCGGAUUAGCUAGUUGGUGAGGUAACGGCUCAUCAAGGCGACGAUCCGUAGCUGGUUUGAGAGGACGACCAGCCACACUGGGACUGAGACACGGCCCAGACUCCUACGGGAGGCAGCAGUGGGGAAUUUUGGACAAUGGGGGCAACCCUGAUCCAGCCAUCCCGCGUGUGCGAUGAAGGCCUUCGGGUUGUAAAGCACUUUUGGCAGGAAAGAAACGUCGCGGGCUAAUACCCCGUGGAACUGACGGUACCUGCAGAAUAAGCACCGGCUAACUACGUG